rnacentral:rRNA from 1 species
CAGUAGCCGCGGGAAUACGUAGGGUGCAAGCGUUAAUCGGAAUUACUGGGCGUAAAGCGUGCGCAGACGGUUAUAUAAGUCAGAUGUGAAAUCCCCAGGCUCAACCUGGGACCUGCAUUUGUGACUGUAUAGCUAGAGUACGGUAGAGGGGGAUGGAAUUCCGCGUGUAGCAGUGAAAUGCGUAGAUAUGCGGAGGAACACCGAUGGCGAAGGCAAUCCCCUGGACCUGUACUGACGCACAUGCACGAAAGCGUGGGGAGCAAACAGGAUUAGAUACCCGCGUAGUCCCUGUCUCUUAUAC